rnacentral:lncRNA from 1 species
GCAUGAAAGUGUACAGCAUGCUUUCAUGGCUAUGGAAAUAAGGCUUUAUUUUAUGUUUUGAUGUGGUGGAACUCAAACUAAUAUAAAAAGCUUGCCAAUAGGAAGAGCAGCAACAUGUUUGUGUGCUCAAUCUCAUGUUUGCAUGUUUUAAGUAUGUACAUAGAAGCAGUCUGAAUGAUCUAAUAAAGGCAAAGAAUUCCACAGAGUUUCUGGAAUAUAUAGAAGCUUUAGUGUUCUGAUUUUGGUCAUAUUCUGUUACGUACUUCAUUUAAUCCAUCUGGAAUCGUGGCUGAAAAGCUGUAUUUGUAGUAAAAUGGAUACCUCCACAUCUGUACUUAAGUGUUUCUAGGUAAACUACAUUGCGAGUCAUGAGCCUUCUGUAGGGUUUGCUGUGCUCAACUGACCUUUCUAGCACAGCUCUGUUCUCUUUAGCAAUCCUUAUGUUUUGAAACAAAUCAAUAAAUUGAGCAGUAACAAAUCACUAGGACCAUAUGGUCUUCACCCAAUACUUUUAAGGGAAUUAAAAUCUGAAAAUAUCAGACUGUGCAACAAGUGUGGUCUGGAGAAGAAGGGAAAUAAACGGUAAUAUUUUGUAGAUAAAAAAAAAAGCAUCUAUUAUCUCAUUAAAUUUGCGUUUGGAAGUACACAAAAAUGAUUGGAUGACAGAAAACUGGACAUUGAUGAACCAAGUACUGUCUGUGGGUGGGAAAGGACCUUAGUCAGAGGCAUGGGUGGGGUUUGCAUUUGCUAGUUGGGAAAUAAUCAUUGUAGUUCCUUAGAAAUGUUAGCUGAAUGGCAGUCAGGCUACUGUGUCUGUAACUCAUGAGGAUAUUUUAUAUGAUACAGUAUUUAGUAUAAUUUGUACUGCAGAUGUAAUGAUAGCUGUGUUUGAAAUUCAAGGUAUGCUGGGCAUGCUGACUUCAUGUAUAUACAGCCCAAAGCCUGCAAAACAAAGAGCAAAAGGAAGGAAAUAAAAAUAAGUGCAAAUGUCAUCUUAGAACGACAGAGUCCUGAGAAUGGUAUUAUGUUUGUGUCGGCAUGUUUAGGUCUUUGCUCCUGAUUAUAUCCAGAUGUUGAAGAAGAGAAAAAGAAACAUUAACACCUUCAAGCAGAGGAACUGUCUAUCAUUAGGAAGAAAAGUAUCCUAUGUCUAUUGAUUGAGGCUGUUGGAAGAAAUCAAUGAAGAGUAGAUUCUUAGAUUGGUUAUACCUCUGGAAUGUGGUCUCCCUCCAUAAUCUUGUAAUAAAAAACUCUGAGCCUCUGUAAUCA